GAUGAACGCUGGCGGCGUGCCUAAUACAUGCAAGUCGAGCGAACAGAUAAGGAGCUUGCUCCUUUGACGUUAGCGGCGGGCGGGUGAGUAAAACGUGGAUAACCUACCUAUAAGACUGGGAUAACUUCGGGAAACCGGAGCUAAUACCGGAUAACAUAUUGAACCGCAUGGUUCAAUAGUGAAAGGCGGCUUUGCUGUCACUUAUAGAUGGAUCCGCGCCGUAUUAGCUAGUUGGUAAGGUAACGGCUUACCAAGGCAACGAUACGUAGCCGACCUGAGAGGGUGAUCGGCCACACUGGAACUGAGACACGGUCCAGACUCCUACGGGAGGCAGCAGUAGGGAAUCUUCCGCAAAGGGCGAAAGCCUGACGGAGCAACGCCGCGUGAGUGAUGAAGGUCUUCGGAUCGUAAAACUCUGUUAUCAGGGAAGAACAAAUGUGUAAGUAACUGUGCACAUCUUGACGGUACCUGAUCAGAAAGCCACGGCUAACUACGUG
rnacentral:rRNA from 1 species